rnacentral:pre_miRNA from 1 species
UUUAGAAUCUGUACGCUUUGUUGUUACUUUAAAAUCACAGAGCUUACGGAUUCUCGAAC